rnacentral:rRNA from 1 species
GACGAACGCUGGCGGCGUGCCUAAUACAUGCAAGUCGAACGCACAGUUUAUACCGUAGCUUGCUACACCAUAGACUGUGAGUUGCGAACGGGUGAGUAACGCGUAGGUAACCUGCCUGGUAGCGGGGGAUAACUAUUGGAAACGAUAGCUAAUACCGCAUAAUAUUAAUUAUUGCAUGAUAAUUAAUUGAAAGGUGCAAUUGCACCACUACCAGAUGGCCCUGCGUUGUAUUAGCUAGUAGGUGAGGUAACGGCUCACCUAGGCGACGAUACAUAGCCGACCGGGGAGGGUGAUCGGCCACACUGGGACUGAGACACGGCCCAGACUCCUACGGGAGGCAGCAGUAGGGAAUCUUCGGCAAUGGACGAAAGUCUGACCGAGCAACGCCGCGUGAGUGAAGAAGGUUUUCGGAUCGUAAAGCUCUGUUGUAAGAGAAGAACGGGUGUGAGAGUGGAAAGUUCACACUGUGACGGUAUCUUACCAGAAAGGGACGGCUAACUACGUG